rnacentral:rRNA from 1 species
CGCUAUCAUCCUACGGGAGGCAGCAGUGGGGAAUAUUGCACAAUGGGCGCAAGCCUGAUGCAGCCAUGCCGCGUGUGUGAAGAAGGCCUUCGGGUUGUAAAGCACUUUCAGUCGUGAGGAAGGUGGUGUAGUUAAUAGCUGCAUUACUUGACGUUAGCGACAGAAGAAGCACCGGCUAACUCCGUGCCAGCAGCCGCGGUAAUACGGAGGGUGCGAGCGUUAAUCGGAAUUACUGGGCGUAAAGCGCAUGCAGGUGGUUUGUUAAGUCAGAUGUGAAAGCCCGGGGCUCAACCUCGGAAUAGCAUUUGAAACUGGCAGACUAGAGUACUGUAGAGGGGGUAGAAUUUCAGGUGUAGCGGUGAAAUGCGUAGAGAUCUGAAGGAAUACCAGUGGCGAAGGCGGCCCCCUGGACAAAGACUGACGCUCAGAUGCGAAAGCGUGGGGAGCAAACAGGAUUAGAUACCCUGGUAG